rnacentral:rRNA from 1 species
CCUACGGGAGGCAGCAGUGAGGAAUAUUGGUCAAUGGGCUUACGCCUGAACCAGCCAAGUCGCGUGAGGGAAGACUGCCCUAUGGGUUGUAAACCUCUUUUGUCAGGGAGCAACGCCGGCUACGUGUAGCCGGACUGAGAGUACCUGAAGAAAAAGCAUCGGCUAACUCCGUGCCAGCAGCCGCGGUAAUACGUAGGGGGCAAGCGUUAUCCGGAUUUACUGGGUGUAAAGGGAGCGUAGACGGCAUGGCAAGUCUGAAGUGAAAGCCCGGGGCUCAACCGCGGGACUGCUUUGGAAACUGUUAAGCUGGAGUGCAGGAGAGGUAAGUGGAAUUCCUAGUGUAGCGGUGAAAUGCGUAGAUAUUAGGAGGAACACCAGUGGCGAAGGCGGCUUACUGGACUGUAACUGACGUUGAGGCUCGAAAGCGUGGGGAGCAAACAGGAUUAGAUACCCGGGUAGUC